GAUUUAUUUGGAGUAGUCAAGGAAAACUAUAUAGCUUGGAUAUAGCUCAACUUCAAUAAUUACAAAAAACCCAGAGGUUGUCUUGACCACCCAUUAUCACCGUCAUUUUCUCCGACAAAAUAUUCCAGGCUCUGCUGGUUCUGAUCACUGAUUACUGGUGAUUGUUCGUUUUAAGUCCUUGGGGCCUUCUUGCUUCUGUUCAUAAGGUUUCUUUCGCAGGGUGGAGAGGAGCAGUUGGUGGGCAUUAAGUGAGACUGCCAAGUUGCUUCAUUAUGUCUGCGGAUUACCAUAUAUUAUCCCAAAAAGG
rnacentral:lncRNA from 1 species